rfam:Loxodonta africana unplaced genomic scaffold scaffold_89, whole genome shotgun sequence.
GCAGUGGUGGUUUAGUGGUAGAAUUCUUGUCUUCCAUGAUGGAGACCUGGGUUCGAUUCCCAGCCAACGCA